rnacentral:rRNA from 1 species
GCCAGACUCCUACGGGAGGCAGCAGUGGGGAAUAUUGCACAAUGGGGGAAACCCUGAUGCAGCGACGCCGCGUGAGUGAAGAAGUAUUUCGGUAUGUAAAGCUCUAUCAGCAGGGAAGAAAAUGACGGUACCUGAUUAAGAAGCCCCGGCUAACUACGUGCCAGCAGCCGCGGUAAUACGUAGGGGGCAAGCGUUAUCCGGAUUUACUGGGUGUAAAGGGAGCGUAGACGGCAGCGCAAGUCUGAAGUGAAAGCCCGGGGCUCAACUCCGGGACUGCUUUUGAAACUGUGUGACUGGAGUGCAGGAGAGGUAAGCGGAAUUCCUGGUGUAGCGGUGAAAUGCGUAGAUAUCAGGAGGAACACCAGUGGCGAAGGCGGCUUACUGGACUGUAACUGACGUUGAGGCUCGAAAGCGUGGGGAGCAAACAGGAUUAGAUACCCGAGUACU